rnacentral:rRNA from 1 species
UACGGAGGAGGCAAGCGUUAUCCGGAAUUAUUGGGCGUAAAGCGUCCGCAGGUGGCACUUCAAGUCUGCUGUCAAAGACCGGGGCUUAACCCCAGAAAGGCAGUGGAAACUGAAGUGCUAGAGUGCAGUAGGGGUAGAGGGAAUUCCCGGUGUAGCGGUGAAAUGCGUAGAGAUCGGGAAGAACAUCGGUGGCGAAAGCGCUCUGCUGGACUGCAACUGACACUCAGGGACGAAAGCUAGGGGAGCGAAUGGG